rnacentral:rRNA from 1 species
AUUGAACGCUGGCGGCAGGCCUAACACAUGCAAGUCGAGCGAGCGGCGGACGGGUGAGUAAUGUAUGGGGACUGCCCGAUAAGGGGGGAUAAAUACUGGAAAAGGUGGUAAAUACGGCAUACUAUCGGUGAACCCAUAUGGGAUUAGCUAGGAGGUGGGGUAAAGGCUCACCUAGGCGACGAGCUCUAGCUGGUCUGAGAGGAUGAUCAGCCACACUGGGACUGAGACACGGCCCAGACUCCUACGGAGGCAGCAUUGGGGAAUAUUGCACAAUGGGCGCAAGCCUGAUGCAGCCAUGCCGCGUGUAUGAAGAAGGCCUUAGGGUUGUAAAGUACUUUCAGCGGGGAGGCGUUACCCGCAGAAGAAGCACCGGCUAACUCCGUGCCAGCCGCCGCGGUAAUUC